rnacentral:rRNA from 1 species
CGCAUUGCAGGUGGUUUGUUAAGUCAGAUGUUGAAAGCCCGGGGCUCAACCUCGGAAUUGCAUUUGAAACUGGCAAACUAGAGUACUGUAGAGGGGGUAGAAUUUCAGGUGUAGCGGUGAAAUGCGUAGAGAUCUGAAGGAAUACCGGUGGCGAAGGCGGCCCCCCUGGACAGAUACUGACACUCAGAUUGCGAAAGCGUGGGGAGCAAACAGGAUUAGAUACCCCUGGUAG